rnacentral:rRNA from 1 species
CCGCUCAGGACGAACGCUGGCGGCGUGCCUAAUACAUGCAAGUCGAGCGGACAGAAGGGAGCUUGCUCCCGGAUGUUAGCGGCGGACGGGUGAGUAACACGUGGGUAACCUGCCUGUAAGACUGGGAUAACUCCGGGAAACCGGAGCUAAUACCGGAUAGUUCCUUGAACCGCAUGGUUCAAGGAUGAAAGACGGUUUCGGCUGUCACUUACAGAUGGACCCGCGGCGCAUUAGCUAGUUGGUGAGGUAACGGCUCACCAAGGCGACGAUGCGUAGCCGACCUGAGAGGGUGAUCGGCCACACUGGGACUGAGACACGGCCCAGACUCCUACGGGAGGCAGCAGUAGGGAAUCUUCCGCAAUGGACGAAAGUCUGACGGAGCAACGCCGCGUGAGUGAUGAAGGUUUUCGGAUCGUAAAGCUCUGUUGUUAGGGAAGAACAAGUGCAAGAGUAACUGCUUGCACCUUGACGGUACCUAACCAGAAAGCCACGGCUAACUACGUGCCAGCAGCCGCGGUAAUACGUAGGUGGCAAGCGUUGUCCGGAAUUAUUGGGCGUAAAGGGCUCGCAGGCGGUUUCUUAAGUCUGAUGUGAAAGCCCCCGGCUCAACCGGGGAGGGUCAUUGGAAACUGGGAAACUUGAGUGCAGAAGAGGAGAGUGGAAUUCCACGUGUAGCGGUGAAAUGCGUAGAGAUGUGGAGGAACACCAGUGGCGAAGGCGACUCUCUGGUCUGUAACUGACGCUGAGGAGCGAAAGCGUGGGGAGCGAACAGGAUUAGAUACCCUGGUAGUCCACGCCGUAAACGAUGAGUGCUAAGUGUUAGGGGG